rnacentral:tRNA from 1 species
GCGAGUGUAGCUCAGCGGUAGAGCAUUACCUUGCCAAGGUAAUUGUCGUCGGUUCGAUCCCGAUCACUCGCUCCA